GCUUGUCUCAAAGAUUAAGCCAUGCAUGUCUAAGUAUAAACGACUUUAUACUGUGAAACUGCGAAUGGCUCAUUAUAUCAGUUAUAGUUUAUUUGAUGGUCCUUGCUACUUGGAUAACCGUAGUAAUUCUAGAGCUAAUACAUGCUAAAAACCCCAACUUCGGAAGGGGUGUAUUUAUUAGAUUAAAAGCCAAUGCCCUUCGGGGCUCAAUGGUGAUUCAUAAUAACUUCACGGAUCGCACGGCCUUGCGCCGGCGAUGGUUCAUUCAAAUUUCUUCCCUAUCAACUUUCGAUGUUUGGGUCUUGGCCAAACAUGGUGGCAACGGGUAACGGAGGGUUAGGGCUCGACCCCGGAGAAGGAGCCUGAGAAACGGCUACUACAUCCAAGGAAGGCAGCAGG
rnacentral:rRNA from 1 species